rnacentral:lncRNA from 1 species
ACUAUUGUUUCUGGUUUAACUAGCUCUGAGGCAAUAGGUCACUCAAACAGCCAUUCUUCUCCGUUGGAAUGGCUCCAUUGCUCACCAUUCAGUAGUACAUAGAGUAGUGUGCCCACUAUGACUAUUGGACUAAUACUAAAGGAAGAGAAGGGGGGCAGGAAAUAAAGGAUGGAAAUGUGGGUUCUCCUUUCCAAAAGGCAGCCAAUAUGCUAAAACUGUCCAACUCUGACAAUAAAUUUUGAAUCACUUUGUUUUCAGACACUUAUAUAUUCAUAUCUUAAAAUGCUUGGCAUAGCCCAAAAGAUGUAAAACACAGCUGUUACUGGGCAAUGGGAGGGAAAAUACACAUGGAAACUUCAGACUCAAAAAAUGAGACUGCUUGUGGAUCUGUAGCUGCAAAAUGGUUAUUAAGGCCAAGCAGAUAGAUUGAAGUAUUAGCCUGGGGUCUACUAAGCAGUAUACAGUCAGCUUAGCCUCCCUCGAUGUUCAAAGUACAUUUGGAGAAACUGCAAAGAAUGAUAACAGAUUUUAUUAAGGCUCUCACCAUUAAGAAAAUAUUUUCAACAUAGAUUCGGAUGAAACAUUUUUUUCAUAUUGGCAACAUUACGGUUUCCAUUGCAAAAGCAAUAUUCUCUUAUGGAAAGUAAACAUGUCAAAAGUGUGAAGCUGUAGAGUAUAGACGUGUGUUUGUGUGUGCCUUUCCGGGGAUUGGACCCUACCUAAAUCAGUGCUCUACCACUGAACUACACCACCAACCCUAAAGGUUUUAAUAAAUAAUCAUUUAAUCAUCAAACACAACCCAAGGAUGUAUACAAAAACUUCUAAAGGAAAGUGGGCAUGCAGCCAAAGUCCUACAGGGCCUAACAG